rnacentral:rRNA from 1 species
UACGUAGGUGGCAAGCGUUGUCCGGAAUUACUGGGUGUAAAGGGAGCGUAGGCGGGACGGUAAGUUGAAUGUGAAAUCUAUGGGCUCAACCCAUAAACUGCGUUCAAAACUACCGUUCUUGAGUGAAGUAGAGGCAGGCGGAAUUCCUAGUGUAGCGGUGAAAUGCGUAGAUAUUAGGAGGAACACCAGUGGCGAAGGCGGCCUGCUGGGCUUUAACUGACGCUGAGGCUCGAAAGCGUGGGGAGCAAAC